UUUUGCAAAGCUAAUGGGCCACUAGGCCGACUGAGAAAGUUAUGGGUCCUUAAAGAAAGUUACAUAAACCCAUAAACUUUCUUUCUUCAUUUUGAUUUUGUGUGUUGCCCGUCUAAUUAAAUUCCUACUAAAAAAAAUGUGGAGAAGGAAGAUGUGGAAGAAACUGAAUUGGUUUUGUGUGGUACUUGUCUCCAUUUCAUUUGGCAAUUAGAUGUAGCCAUAUAAAACUAGUUUGACCAAAUUUGAAUGGGUGAUUUGCAUGUUAAGACACUUUUGAUGAAAGUUCUUACACUUUAGACACUUUAGAAAUAUGAGGCACUUUACCUUGUUUUUGGAAUAAAGAUAGACAAUUUUGCCCCUCAUUUAACUAAAGCUAUGUUACACACUUUCUCUCUUCUCUCGUUCCAUAAGAAAUAUUAGUUAGAAACAAAUGCCCAGAUGUGAAACAAAAUUAUCUCUCUCUUCGCUCUGCUUUCUCCCCUUCCAUGAAAAUUCCUAGAUCUUAGAGAUAUAAUCUUCUCAUAAAAUAUUUCGAUUGGUCGCCGCCGUCACCGAGGCAAUGACAUAUUUGCUUUUGAUGAAGUAGAAACUGGGAAUAAUAACGACGGUGAUAAGUUAGGGAGUUUUGUCACUGGCGUAGGCUACGGCGCAGCUAGGUUGGCUCGCCGGACCGGUGAUUUAAUACAGAUUGUAUUGGUCUGAACUAAGAUCACGAGGGAUGUUUCAAUUGGGGAAGAAGAAAAAUCGAAUCGUUGUUUAUAACAAGAAAUUCAUUGAUAAAUGGUUUGGGAGAGUGAAAAAUCGAUCUUGAAUCCAUAUUGAGAGAUUGUGGAAGAAGGAGAAGCAAAUGAAAACGAUUGAUUGGUGAAACGUAGCCGUAGCCAUUCUGGAGAAAAAGAAAUAAAAAUUUGUGGUAACGAAAAUGUUAAAUUCUAUAAUUAGCAAAUUAAUUUUCAUAAUUUUCGUGAUAUGAAUGUUGUGAAUUGACAUUGAAAUUUGAUUUGUUAAGAUGCAUCUGGUUUUCCAGUUAAAAUUCCAAUACCCUUUUCUAGGGACACCUUGAAUUCCUUGUUUAAUUUCUUGCCCAUAGGUACGCACCAAUCCCCACCUCUUUAACCAUAUGAUUUUUGUCCAUUUUGUGGCUGUCCACAUAUUACGUCAAACCGGACAUGAUGUUAUUGAUUUAGCUCUGUUGUUAAUGCUACUCAACGUUAAUUGUUUGGUUUACGAAAAAAUACUAAAAUGCAUAUCCAUUUGGUCUCCGCUAGAUGGAUACACCGUCAUUUCUUACACUAUAUCCAUUUGUUCGAUGUUACAUGGAUACACCUUCACUCCUAAAUGUCAUAUAUGAACGCGUACUUGCGUAUUGUCAACCAUAGGAAUCCGUCUAUUAUCCUUCGAAGAUAUGUUCGCCAACUUAUAAGGUGUUCUUGUAUUUCAUUUUGGUGAACAAUGUUUAGAUAUGUUCGCCAUCGUGUCUCUGUUUGUGGAGCUAAAACAUUUUAAUUUAAGAGAUGUAAAAUAUAGGAUCAUUCCGGGGAUGUGCCUUUAGUCAAGUGGUUAAGUCCACUUGACUCCGCCUUCUCCACCGGAGUUUGACUCCAGUAAGUCGCGUUACCCCGCAUAGUAGGGAUUGGUUAUGGAUCGGGCAUUGUCGAUCCAAAGAUGUCAAAAAAAAAA